GGUUGUCGUCAGCUCGUGUCGUGAGAGUGUUGGGUUAAGUCCCGCAACGAGCCGCAACCCCUUAUUGUUAGUUGCCAUCAUUCAGUUGGGCACUCUAGCGAGACUGCCGGUAAUAAACCGGAGGAAGGUGGGAUGACGUCAAAUCAUCACUGCCCCUUAUGGACCUGGGCUACACACGUGCUACAAUGGUUGGGUACAACGAGUUGCGAGUCGGUGACGGCGAGCUAAUCUCUUAAAGCCAAUCUCAGUUCGGAUUGUAGGCUGCAACUCGCCUACAUGAAGUCGGAAUCGCUAGUAAUCGCGGAUCAGCACGCCCGCGGUCGAAUACGUUCCCGGGCCUU
rnacentral:rRNA from 1 species